rnacentral:lncRNA from 1 species
CUUUCUUGUGACGUUCAACCACUCUUUCUGGGAGGGGGAACGAGGGAAAAGGUGGUCGUCCUUUGUGAGGUUGUGCAGGAGCUCCGCAAUCGCUUUCUCAGCCUUUCGGAUUUGGAGUCUGCGAUACGCUUCAUCUGCCUCCUUCCUCUUCCUCUCGUCGUCGCCAUCCCCGUUGUGCCCACCCUGAUUUUGAGCACUGGUUGUAGCGACGGCUUUUCCCUUUCGUUCCAUGAAAAAAAAAGCGCAAAAAAUGCAAGAGAAACAGUGUCAUAACGAAAAUGACUUGUAACUGUGAAGCUAUAAGGUAUCCUACCCAGGAAUAAGUAUUCAGUUAGCAUAUUGGUGUUUCUUUUCCUCCCCCCAAAAAUGAAGAGAGACUUGUCAGAAAUCGCUUGGUCAAACCAGCAUGGGAAUUGAUCGAUCUUCUACCUUAAUAGUGGUGCAACG